UACGUAGGGUGCGAGCGUUAAUCGGAAUUACUGGGCGUAAAGCGUGCGCAGGCGGCGCGUUAAGACAGGUGUGAAAGCCCCGAGCUUAACUUGGGAAUUGCGCUUGUGACUGCAUUGCUGGAGUGCGGCAGAGGGGGAUGGAAUUCCGCGUGUAGCAGUGAAAUGCGUAGAUAUGCGGAGGAACACCGAUGGCGAAGGCAAUCCCCCUGGGCCUGCACUGACGCUCAUGCGCGAAAGCGUGGGGAGCAAACAGG
rnacentral:rRNA from 1 species